CGACUGAAUUCGAAAACGUACGUUUCCUCGUGAGAUCAGGUUCUAUAGUUAUUGUUUUUUAUUAAUAUUAAUGUUAUGUCACUUGCUUAUCAUGAUUUUUUAAAAUAAAUUUAUUACCAUUGGCAACGCAAACAUUUGCCUCAUGUCCGCGUGCGCGCGCCUCCGCUAAACGAUUUCAAACCGAAGGACUCGAGGAUUGGGCCAGAAAGCAGUCCAGAAUGAUCAAAGAUGGAAAAUGAAAGCUCUCCAAGAGCUCGUCAGAUGUGCUGAGUCUGCUUACCCGUGCAAGGCUUCGAGUGCAGCCCACAUGAUCCUGGAGUUUGCAUGAAGCUUCCUCAACCAGAACCGAUGUCAUUUAAAUCCAGUUAAAUGAAUGACCCCAUAAAUUUUCUCCAAUAAUAAGCGGGA
rnacentral:lncRNA from 1 species